AAAUUUUCUUUCAGCAAACCAAAGAUAAGCUAUUUAAAUAUCUUUUCUAGUCAGAUUAGGGGGCUGGCUUACUUAGGGAGAGAUGAGUCUCCUCAUCCUAUCUACGGUGACCUGAAGUGAAGUGCCGCACCUCAACUCCUGUAAGAAUUUGUAAGCGUUCUGUUAUCUCUUUUCUGAGCAGAAUUAAGUUCUAAAGUUAGUUGUAAGUGUAAAAGUUGCUCUGGGAAAGGCCACAAGUUGUGACUCUUCUCCUUUGCUAAGGUAGUCAUCAGUAAAAAACAACAGCAUUUAUUGAAUACUCACUCUUGCCAGGUACAGUAGAAUGGGCAUGGCCUCUUUCUUCAAAGACCAUUCCCCAUGAAGACAGCUUCAACAUUGCUUCUAUUUUCCAGCAAUUGGAUUCUGGAAUUGGAUUGAUACUGAGACAUGACUGUGGUUUAUCACUAAUAUGAAAGAUUCCAUCGAUCUUUGGAGAUGGGAGAUAAGUACUUGUAAUUGUUAGGCUCCAGGAUGCUCUAUGAGGGUGAAGGAAAUGCCGUUUGUAGAUUUAUGCACAGACCAAGGACCAUGGCUCUGAAAUAGGAGGAAAGGGGUAGGGUACAACCUUUAAAAGACUGACAAAGCCAUAAACAUAGUUCAUAAACUGGUUAGAACCAAUUAGGCCCAGGAUGCUGGAAGAUUUGACUUUCAGCAGACCUUGAGCCUCAUUAUACCCUCAUUGUAAUGCAUCAACAUGCUAAAAGGCAUGCCCAUAGGCGCCCUGACAGUUCUGAGGCUGAGCCAAAAGUGAGCUGUGGCCCAGUCCUGGAAAUCUCCGCCUCUUCCCCAAAAUAGUUGGACUAAUUCUUUCACUCAUUAGCUAUGAAAUUACCCAGCCUGUAAAAAUUAACUACAUCAUAUUUUGAGGCCUCUUGCCUUCUGAGACUGCCCACAUUGUGUCUGUGGAGUUUGUAUCUCUCUCAGUAAAUCUGCUUCUUACCUAUCACUUUGCUUCGUGUUGAAGUCCUUCUGUGCUGAGGCAUAAAGAACUUGAGCGUCAUUCAGUCCUGAGACCAUGUGUGCAAUUUCAGCUGAGAGAUAAUGGGUUUGAGUUCCUGCUAAACCAGGGAUUGUGGGUUCAAGUCCCAUUUAAAGCACAACUGUGUUUGAGUCUCAAUCCGAGGUGUGUGGUUUCAGUUCUUAUGUCCUGUUUUGCAGUAUGUUUUUUGAGGAUGAAAGUAGUUUAAAGGUUUCUUCCCACUUUUCUGUAAGUUUCAUGGGAGCAGGAAUUUUCUCUCUCUCACACUUUAUUUAUUUAUUAUUAUUAUUUUUUUUUUUAGUGCCAUACCCAUAGCAUGUGGAAGUUUCCAGGCCAAGUGUUGGAUCUGCAGCUGCGGGGCUAUGCCACAGCCACAACAACACAGGAUCUGCGCUGCAUUUGUGACCUACACCACAGCUCAUGGCAAGGCCGGAUCCUUAACACACUGAUCGAGGCCAAGGACUGAAGUCUUAUCCUCAUGGAUACUAGUUGGAUACCGUCCUCAUGGGUACCACUGAGCCACGAUGGGAACUCCUCUCUUGCACUUUAAAUAGUGCUUUGUUGAAGUUCCCUUUGUGGCUCAGUGGGUUAUGAACCCAACUAGUAUCCAUGAGGAUGUGGAUUUGAUCCCUGGCUUUGCUCAGUGGGUUAAGGAUCCAGCAUUGCUGUAAGCUGUGGUGUAGGUUGCAGAUGCCUGUCAGAUCCCACGUUGCUGUGACUGUGGCUGUGGUGUAGGCUGGCAGCUGCAGCUCUGAUUCAACCCCUAGCCUGGGAACCUCCAUAUGGUGCAGGUGCAGCCUUUAGGGCCUUUUUAGAAGCAAAAAAACAAAACAAAACAGUGCUGUGUUCAUAGUGUUAAAGUAUUAAAAUGACACAAAUUAUAGUAAGGAAGAUGCGUGUACAUGUAUAACUAAAACACUUUGUUGUACAGCAGAAAUUAUCAAAACAUUGCAAAUCAACUGUACUUCAAUAAAAUGUUUAAAAAUGAUUAAAAAUGUAUAGUAAGGAAGACUUUACUGUAAAGGGAAGGAGAAGAGAGCACUAUUGUGAUAGGUAUAGGACCGCUGGGGUAGAAUUUUGCAGUGAGAAAGAUUGAGCUCAACUCCUAAUAUAGCAUGGACAAGUAGACAUUCAAAGCCAAGGAGCAGGGUGGAAGUCAGUGGGUAGAAAAUUACUAUGAAAAAUUGGGUUGUGAUGAUCGUUGUACAACUAUGAAUGUAAUAAAAUUCAUUGAGUAAUAAAAAAUUAAAAAAUUACUACAAAAAAUCAUCGGGGGUAAAGGGAGAUGCUGGCUUAAAUGACCUAAUAGGAUUCUUGCAGAAGGCAGGAUGAUCAGACAUCAUCUGAGGGAUGGUAGAGGAUGAGGAACCUGAUUAAAUAUCAAGGGUAUUAGGAUAUGGAGGAUGAGAGAUUUUGGUUAAACUGAUUUACCAGAAUUUUUGUUUAAACUGGACAAUGCAGAGAUGAAUAUGGAAGUUCAAAAGUCAGGCCUAGUUGAAAAAGAGUUCAAGGAAAUGUGAAUAGAAUUUGGUCAACAAGAUCUUUUUUUUUGUUUUUUGUUUUCAAAAGAAAGCAACCAAAUUCAACCAUGUAGAAUGAAUGAAUAAAUUACUUGUGUAAGAUAUUCAUGUAUUUAUCCAUUUGUUCACUUCACAAAUACGCAAGUGAAAUAUUUAUAUAGGUAUUUUCUUAGGGACUUGGAGUGGGGGGAGUAAACAACACUCAGAUUCAGUCCCUGCCCUCAUGGAACUUACAUUCUAGUUGGUAAAAAAGUAAGUAAAAUAUAUAUUACAUAUGAUAGGGAUCAAUGCUAAGGAGAAGAAAAAGCAAGAAAAUAGGGAAGGUUGGAGGAAAGAUACAGUAUUGCAAUUCUGGAUACAGUGGCCAGAGGAGACAUUUAAGUAAAGCCCUGGAGGAAGUGAGGGAAGGAAGGAUCUACAAGAUAUCUGGGGAAAGGGCAUUCCUGUUCAAGCAGAAGGAACAGCAGGCAUAUAGUUCCUGUGGCAGGAAGGUAUCAAGGAAUGUGCCAAGGGCAGAAAGACAAAGCAAGGUAGGACACACAGAGGCUUGUGUUCAUUGUACAGACUCUGCCCAGGAUGAGAUAGGAAGACACAGAAAGAUUCUGAGCAGGGAAGUAACGUGAUGGGAUGGACAUUUUCAAAGGAUACUCUUGCUGCGUUGAGAAGGGAUUGAAGAACAGUAACAGCGGAAGUUAGGAGGUUAUUGCAACAAUCUAGGCUAGAGAUGACCAGGGUGUUAUUGGUGCCAGAUGUUUAGCAGUGGCUGAAUUCUGGAUUGAUUUUGAAGAUAACACAGAAUGUAAUGGCUUAUGAAUCUGUUGUGAGGUGUGAAAGAAAGAAGUGAAGGAUGAGAACCAACAUGGGGAAACAUUCAUACAGUUGGUGUGGGUUGUGUCUGUGAUCACAAUGUGUUGCUUUGAAACACUGUUCACAUGUGUAAAAGAAAAAUUCCCUGAAAAGUAAUGCAAAGUAGCAUGCCCUAACCAGUUUCUUGGCUUGUGCACGUGCAUGCUUAUUUGGUAUUUACUGCACUGGAUUAUCUGCAAGUUGAAUGUCAAAUCUAGCAGACUUUGGGCUCUUAAUGGGGUUUGUGGCUUUUGUCUUUAUUUCUCUAUUUCCUAGCAAAGUACCUGGCCAGAGUAGACACUGAAUAUAUAUUUGCUCAGUGAGUAAAUUUUUCUGAAUGUAUUAUGUUCCCAAGCAUUUUCUAUAUGAGUUUAUUUUAAAAUCUUUUUGUUUACAAAACACAAAGGUUUCUUUUUCUAUUAAAAUAUGUACACAUUGCAAAUGAUGCUAGGAUUUUGCUCAGAAACAUCUGCUCUUGUGCUUGUGCCUUUUCUGUACAUGUAAUUCAAUUAAAAUUUCUUUAGAUUCCCAUUGAACUUGUAUUAUUAAUGUCACCUAUCAGUGAUAAAUUGUGGAUUUGAGAGUUUAUUUUGUAACAAGUUUGUUUCUCUUAACCGAGAACUUUCAUUGUUCUAAGAAGUUUGUAAAGGGCAAAAUGGCCCUGAUUACUCUCAGACUCCCGCUGCCCCACCGCUCCAGCCCCUCCAGCUCUCUACAGUCAUGAACUCAUCCUUUUGUUGUUGCCAUCACAAACCACUCACUUGUUCAUCCUGAACUCCACUUUCUCAUUUCCAUCCAUUCAUGUCAUUUAACACCUAUCUACUCUUUUUUUUUGCCACACCCAUGGCAUGUAGAAGCUCCAGGCUAGGGAUCCAACUGAGCCCCAGCAGUGACAGCACAGAAUCCUUAUCUGCUAGAUCACCAGAGAAGUCCUAGCACCUAUCUACUCUUUUUAUUUUUAUUUUUUAAGUUUUAUUGGAGUAUAGUUGACUUACAAAGUUCUGUUAGUUUCAGGUGUACAGCAAAGUGAAUCAGUUAUACAAAUACAUAUAUCCAUUCCUUUUCAGAUUCUUUCCCCAUAAAGGUCACUGCAGAGUAGUGAAUGGAUUUUCCUGUGCUGCAGUAAGCCCUUGUUCCUCAUUCAUUUCAUAUACAAGAGUGUGUGUAUGUCCAUCCCAACCUCCUAAUUUAUGUCUCCCCACAGUGUUUCUUCCCCUUCUGUAACCAUAUGUUUGAAGUCUUCGAGUCUGUUUCUGUUCUAUUCUGAAUAAGUUCACUUGUAUCAUUUUUAUUGCAUUCCACAUAUUAGUGAUCUCCUAUGAUAUUUGUCUUUAUCUGACUUCACCUAAUAUGAUAAUUUCUAGGUCUAUCCAUGUUACUGCAAAGGGCAUUAUUUCAUUCUUUUUUUAUGGCUGAGUGACAUUCUGUGUAAGUGGCUUCUCAGCGACCUGUUGAAUCCAACUUGGUGGCUGGUUAUCAGAGUUAUAUCAGCUUUGAAAAACUAUAAAGUUAAAUAAAUCUUUCUGGAUCUCUUUCAUUUCCCACUUGUCCCAUAACACCUGACAAUGGAAAGGCGGUGGGGAUGUUUCCCUCACUUUCUUUCCAUCCCCAGCAAUUGUUAUGCAGGUCUUCUACUGAGGGAACCCAACCCUGUCCAGCAGACAAGUUUGUCCAUAAAUAUUCUUAAAUUUUUUGAAGCAUUUUUUACCCAGGAAAUGUGUGGAGUAUUUAUUUUUUGUUAUUUUUAAUUCUCUUUUUUUAGGCCUGUACCUGUGGCAUAUAGAAUUUCCUAGACUAGGGGUCGAAUUGGAGCUGCAGCUCCUGCCUACACCACAGCCAUGAGAUCCAAGCCACAUCUUCAAACUAUACUGCAGCUUGUAGCAACGCCAGAUUGUUAACCUACUGAGUGAGGCCAGGGAUUGAACCCUUAUCCUCAUGGAUACCAGUUGGGUUCUUAACCCACUGAGCCACAACGGGAGCUCCCUAUGUGGAGUAUUUAAAAAACAGGUCACUCUGAGCUGACAUAUUUAUAAAUCUUUACAUGCGUUAUCUUAAUCUAAACAACAUCAGCUGUACUGUAAAGAAUAUCAACCACAUUUAUUUAUCUCAGAAGGCUAAAUAAGAGAGGUGCCCCAAAUCAUGCAGCAUGUAGAAGAUUCAGCUUUGUUCUAAGAACAGUUGUGGCAUCAACAGUCUCAGGCGGACCUGUAGAUACUGUGUAUUUAAGGGUAAAAUAUAUGCUCACCAAGCCUGGCAUCCCUCCCCAUGUACAGCUUCUUCUUCUUUUUUUUUUUUUUCCUUUAGGACCACACCUGAGACUCCAUGUACAGCUUCUUUAUUUGCCUUUGUGUCAUCUCUUUUUUGUUUUGGUUUUUUUUUGUUGUUGUUAUUGUUUUGUUGAGCACUUACUCUGUGCCAGACAUUGUGCUGGAACCAGCGAUAAGGUCCUGAAAAAAAAUAGUAAAUUUCUUGCUCUCACUGAGCUUGUGCAAUUUCAUUUAGGAGGGGGGAAGACAAUUAAAAACCAAAGAAUAUCUAGUAGUGCUAAAAGUUAAGGACAAAAUAAAGCAGAGAAUGGAUCUAGAGAGUACUGGGAAGGACAGGAUUGAGGGUGGGAGAAGCUGUUUUAAAUAAGAUGGCCAAGGAAGACUCCAUUUUGAAGACUAUUACACAGAGACCAGAAAGAGGGUGAGGAAACCAGCCAUGCUGCUCUUUGAGGGAAAAAACUUCAAGGCAGAGGGAACAGCAUGUGCAAAGGCCCUGAGGAUGGACUGUAUUUAGUGGUCUUGGUUGGUUAGUUGUUUUUGUUUUUCUUUUCUUUUCUUUUUUUUCAGGAAAGCAGCUUCUUCUGACAGUUUCAAAGGAAACAUUUGGUAUUUCAGUAGGUUAGUCCCAUGCAGUUACUACACACAUUCCACCUUCUUUUGACUUCAGAAAGGUUUAAAUGGAUCAUCAAAAUUACAAAUCCUCUUUCAACUGAAAUAUAUUUGUAAAUGAAGUAUAUCGUCACAUUAGUAACUAUGAAGAUUUGCCAGAAGAGAGCCUAUUAGCUUUAUGAUACAGAAUUCAGCCCAUCUCUCAAAACCAGGGCCAAGAGAAAACAAACAGAGUUGCCAUAAAGGCUGAAAAGCAUAAGGUAAAAAAUGUGAGUCAGACCCUUCCCAUUGCUCAUGGGGAGAGUAGAUGAGCUAGGACUGUCUAGUCUAGAUAUUUUGUUUAAAAAUCAACCUUCCUUCCCAAGAGAUUGGCAAUUUUAUUAGGGCUCGUUUGGCGUCAAGGAACAGAGAUUCCCUUGAGCUUAUUUAAGCAAAGAAGAUUUUAUCAUAAGGAUUUACAAGGUUUGAUGCAAAUCUUGAUCCAAGACUAGGAGUCACCACAGGAACCUGGGGCCAAGAGCUAUGUGCCUCCAAUUUGGGGAUCCUGCUCUGUCCGACUCUCUUUUCUCACUGGCUUCCUUUGCCUACUCCUCUAAUAAUUUUGACUUACCAAUGGCUUUGGGGUUUUAAAAUUUCUUUUUUUCUUUUUAGGGCCACACCCACAGCAUAUGGAGGUUCCCAGGCUAGGGGUCCAAUUGGAGCUGUAGCUGCUGGCCUACACCAGAGCCACAGCAACGCAUCAUCUGAGCCCCACCUACGACCUACACCAGGGCUCACUGAAACAUCAGAUACUUAACCCACCGAACAAGGCCAGGGAUUGAACCUGCAUCCUCUUGGAUACUAGUGGGGUUCAUUAUUGCUGAGCCACAACGGGAAAUCCCAAUUGCUUUUCUUUUAAAAAUUUUUUUAUUUUACUUUUUAAAAAUUAAAGUAUAAUUGAUUUACAAUAUUGUGCCAGUUUCUGCUACACCUCAAAGUGACCCAAUCAUACAUAUAUAUAUAUACACAUUUGCUUUCUCAUAUUAUCUUCCUUCAUGGUCUAUCCCAAGAGCCCCAGCACGUGGAAAUUCUGGGACUAGAGAUCGACCCUGAGUCACAGCAGUGACAAUGCCAAAUCCUUAACCACUAGGCCACCAGGGAACUCCAUUUAGUUUUACUUUUUAAUUUUCCAAACCAGAUGACUCCUUGGGAGGCAUAUUAAAGGAUUUAAAAUUUAGAUCACAAAAUAAAUCACUCGUUCUCAAUAAGUAAUGCAACACCACGUAUUAUUCAGUUCAAAUACAUUGACCAUGGAUGUGUGUGGCUGGGAAUGUUUUAUGAUUUAAGCUUUGCAAUGCUGUUGUCCUUGGCUAGAACCAGAGUAAUUUAUAUUUUGUAGUGGGCACACUAUUGCAAAGCAGAACUUUUUAUAUAGUUCUGUAACUCCAAUUUCUACUAGGACCCCUAUUUGACCAAGGUAGUAGAAACAGAGUUCUUCUCUUUCCUGUGAUUAUGUCUAAGCUCUAGGGGCUUUUGUCAUACUAGGAAGUUGGGGUGUGUCCUCUAUGUUACCUGCCAAGGGUCCACAAAGCCAUCCCUCUCCCAUCUGCCUGGUCCCUUCAGGUUGUGUAGCUGGGUCCACACUGCUGGGAAUGGCAUCAAGGCUACUCUUCUGCUGCUUCCAUUGCUGUGCCUGGGCUAAGGAAGUAACUGUGUCUCUCUGAAGCCACAUCUGCCUAACCUCCUCCUAUGCAGUCAUUUCCUCUCUGGGGUUUUGCAAUUUUCACCAUGCAGGCGGACACAAGCCUAUUUGCACUCAGACGCUCAGGUUUUAGUGUGUUUCCUUCUGCAUUGUCCACUGGACAGCAUUCAGCCCCCUUUACCCAGUUUUCACCUGUGUCUCAACCUUCAUCACUUUCUCCCCACCUCUCUUUUCUCCACUCCAGUCUACCUGCCCUCCAUCAAGGUGUCUUUUGUUUUAGCCUGGGAUAGAUGAAGAUGGGGAGGGGGUGAAGAGAAAA
rnacentral:lncRNA from 1 species